AAUAAACCAAUUUUUUACUUUUUACCUACGAUUUUUUGACUCUUCGUCUUAUUUAAUUUUUUUUUCGAUUGAUAUUUUUGUUUUUAUUAGAUGAUAAAUCAUGAAUAGUACUUUACGUGUGACUAAUUUUUUCUAAUUUUCUGAAAUUUUUUAAAUAAGACGGAUGGUCAAACAUUGGACACGGAAACCGAAGAAUUGACUUUUU
rnacentral:pre_miRNA from 1 species